UACGAAGGGGGCUAGCGUUGUUCGGAAUUACUGGGCGUAAAGCGCGCGUAGGCGGUUUUGCAAGCCAGAGGUGAAAUGCCUGAGCUCAACUUAGGAAUUGCCUUUGGGACUGCGAGGCUUUGAGGACUGGAGAGGUGGGUGGAAUUCCCAGUGUAGAGGUGAAAUUCGUAGAUAUUGGGAAGAACACCGGUGGCGAAGGCGGCUCACUGGCCAGUUUCUGACGCUGCAGCGCGAAAGCGUGGGGAUCAAACAGG
rnacentral:rRNA from 1 species